UGGGGAAUAUUGGACAAUGGGCGGAAGCCUGAUCCAGCAACGCCGCGUGAGGGAUGACGGCCUUCGGGUUGUAAACCUCUUUCAGUACCGACGAAGCGAAAGUGACGGUAGGUACAGAAGAAGGACCGGCCAACUACGUGCCAGCAGCCGCGGUAAUACGUAGGGUCCGAGCGUUGUCCGGAAUUAUUGGGCGUAAAGGGCUCGUAGGCGGUUUGUCGCGUCGGGAGUGAAAACAGCGGGCUUAACUCGUUGCUUGCUUUCGAUACGGGCAGACUAGAGGUAUGCAGGGGAGAAUGGAAUUCCUGGUNUAGCGGUGAAAUGCGCAGAUAUCAGGAGGAACACCGGUGGCGAAGGCGGUUCUCUGGGCAUUACCUGACGCUGAGGAGCGAAAGUGUGGGGAGCGAACAGGAUUAGAUACCCUGGUAGUCCACACCGUAAACGUUGGGCGCUAGGUGUGGGGUCCUUUCCACGGAUUCCGUGCCGU
rnacentral:rRNA from 1 species